UACGAAGGGGGCUAGCGUUGCUCGGAAUCACUGCGCGUAAAGCGCACGUAGGCGGCUCUUUAAGUCAGGGGUGAAAUCCUGGAGCUCAACUCCAGAACUGCCCUUGAUACUGAGGAGCUUGAGUCCGGGAGAGGUGAGUGGAACUGCGAGUGUAGAGGUGAAAUUCGUAGAUAUUCGCAAGAACACCAGUGGCGAAGGCGGCUCACUGGCCCGGUACUGACGCUGAGGUGCGAAAGCGUGGGGAGCAAACAGG
rnacentral:rRNA from 1 species